GCCUUGGUGGUGUAGUGGUAGAGCACACAUCCCCGGAUAGGAUGAAACGCUGGUUUGAUUCCCAGCUGAGGCU